rnacentral:misc_RNA from 1 species
GCAGGUUUUCUUGCUCCUUUUAAGUAGGAGAAGCACUUCGCUAACCCUAGAGAAUAGGGUUCUUCACUCCCCACCGUAUGUUAGGGUGUAAAUAUUCCUUUUGACCUUUUGGGUUUCACUGAUCUUGGAGUUACUGAGUGAGGGAUGCAUUUGUGUGAUCUAAUUGAACUUAGUUGUGUGCCUUCGUGCAGGAUGGGCUCUAGGGACAGCCGGUGAAGAAGGAUAACUCAAGAAACAAGGAGCCGACCCUUUGGUUGUCAACCUCUCCUAAAGCUAUAAGAGAUUGAGACAUCAAAGUUUUGCCUUUGGUGGCAUAGUAUUUAUAUUAGUGUUUAGAAAUUAAGGAAAUUAUUAAUGAAAUGUUAUCCAUCCUAACUUUUAAAGGUUAAGGGAGUAUUUU